CAGAGGGGCAGGAAGUGAGCCAUUUCGAGGGCACUCCUGUGUCACCCUGUGCUGUUGGAGUCGCCGAGGAUACAGUGUACAGGUAGCGGGAUAGCCGGUUGCCAGCACAGGCUGGGUUGAGAAACCUCCAAGCAUUGCUGCCUGCUACUUCUCUCCCCAAGCCCGGCGCUCAUUCCUCCACACAUGUAGUAGCCCUGUGUUCCUUUUCUCCCAACUAAAGGCAAUUCAAGAUAAAUAAAUAUGUUGAUCUUGC
rnacentral:lncRNA from 1 species